rnacentral:rRNA from 1 species
UACGUAGGGUGCAAGCGUUGUCCGGAAUUAUUGGGCGUAAAGAGCUCGUAGGUGGCGGGUCACGUCGGGUGUGAAAGCCCGGGGCUUAACCCCGGGUCUGCAUUCGAUACGGGUCUGCUGGGGUCCGGCAGGGGAGACUGGAAUUCCUGGUGUAGCGGUGAAAUGCGCAGAUAUCAGGAGGAACACCGGUGGCGAAGGCGGUUCUCUGGGCCUGUACUGACGCUGAGGAGCGAAAGCGUGGGGAGCGAACAGG